UGAUGCAGCAACGCCGCGUGAGGGACGACGGCCUUCGGGUUGUAAACCUCUUUUAGUAGGGAAGAAGCGAAAGUGACGGUACCUGCAGAAAAAGCACCGGCUAACUACGUGCCAGCAGCCGCGGUAAUACGUAGGGUGCAAGCGUUGUCCGGAAUUAUUGGGCGUAAAGAGCUCGUAGGCGGUUUGUCGCGUCUGCUGUGAAAACCCGAGGCUCAACCUCGGGCCUGCAGUGGGUACGGGCAGACUAGAGUGCGGUAGGGGAGAUUGGAAUUCCUGGUGUAGCGGUGGAAUGCGCAGAUAUCAGGAGGAACACCAAUGGCGAAGGCAGAUCUCUGGGCCGUAACUGACGCUGAGGAGCGAAAGCAUGGGGAGCGAACAGGAUUAGAUACCCUGGUAGUCCAUGCCGUAAACGUUGGGAACUAGAUGUGGGGACCAUUCCACGG
rnacentral:rRNA from 1 species